UAGAGCAAAAGCAAAACAGCGCAGGGUGCGCGGGGGAUUCGCUCCGCCCAACACGCACACCUUUUAACAACAAGAGCUGUGCUUAAAUACAGUGAGGUGUUCCAUAUUCACAAUGACCCCAGGAACGCCUGUACAUAUUCAUAACCUUUCCCGCUUCUCAUUACAAGGAGUCUCGGAGAAGCAUUUCCAGUCUCCUCUUUGAGCCGCCCUGUUCGCCUGCGCUGUGUCACUUGGUGGUUUUGAGGAGGGUCUUUGGGGUCUUUGGAUGAGACUUCAUAAACAAGUCUCAUAACUUUUUACCUAGAACUUAACCACCUUUCCUUUUUCCAGCUUCAGAGCCCGAGCCUCAUUUGGUUACACCUGUAAACACUGAACAUCUCAGCACGAAUCGCAGCUGCAUUUCUCGCACUGUGAAGAUAUUUGGGUGCUGAACUCCGAGCUCAGCGCUGGCGGGGUGAAGUUCCUCCCUGAGGGGAUGAGGGGAGGAGGGGGCGGGGCCAAGGGCCGGCGGCGCGCGGGGCUGAGGCGGCGAGCUGCGAUUGGCCGGCCGGGACGCAGCGGCCGUUCCCGCCCGAGCCUUCGGGCGAGAGACAGAGCGGGAGUGCGGGGAGCGGCCGGGACGGGGCCGCCCCACAGAGAGCCCAGAGAGCGGGGUUCUGGGACUCUGCCCCGGGAACGAGCGACAGGAGGAGAGGGAACGGCCCCGAUGGUACCAGAGCCCGAAGGUCCCAGCGGGGUUUGGAUCAGCGUGUUCUGGAACAUUCUCAGUGGGUCAGGUCUGUGUCAAGAGUGUGGUGGAAACGAAAAGAGAGAAGGUGGAGAGAACAGUGGGGAGAUGGAGGAGCAAGAGUGAAGGUGAAUACCAGAGAGAGCAAGUGUGUGCAGACAAGCUCACGCGUUCUUCCAUCGAUCCUCAGCAUCGCUCCCAAAACAUUUUGCACUUCCCGAGGAACAAGCUGGAUCCAUUACCGCAGUUGUCCUGCCUGUGCCCGCAUAGCGCCUCUGCAACAAAAGGGAGCGAAUCCUCGGGGCUCGCAGCCAGGUCAGUCGUGGCAAACUGAUGUUACUGAAUUUGCAGCGUUUGGCCGACAAGAGUACAUUGGUGUGUCCAUGGACACCUGUUCAGGACCGUUGUGGCUACAGCUUUGACCUCAGCAAACGCAAAAGCAGGAAGGCGUCCUUGAUUACAAGCCUUUGCUGUCAUGGGAGUUCCUACCCAGAUCAAACAGAUAAUGGCCCCGCACACCAUUCUGACACUCCUGCAACCUUCCUCGUCCAGUGGAAGGUGCAACCCCUGUUCGGAGUCCCUUAGAACUCUACUGGCCAGGCAGUUAUGGGGCGUGCACACGCACCUUGAAAAGCCUUUUGCCCGUUCUGAACAAACAAGGGGAAUUGGUGUGGGUGCAGAAGAGGUUUUGAUGAAGGCAUCGUAUGUGCUGAACUGGCUUAAUCCUAAAAGUGAGACUGAAACGGAACCUGUUGUUAUGCACCAUAUCAACAAUGUCAAAGGUCUUUCCGAAGAAGUACCUAAGGUAACCAUAACAGCUGGUGGAUUCAGCGCAGUGGGUGAGGCCUUGGCUGGCCAGCAAAGAAGAGACCGAUUGCAGUGGUGAUGACCCUGACCCUCAGACGUGUUGUCGCUUUCAGCAGCGGAUGCAGCCGGUGUUGAUCUUUGCAGAACAGAGCAGCGAUUAGUGGUUUGUUAUCGGCCAUGGCCACGGUUGUGAAGUUUGAUGGGAUGUGUUGUUUGAACUUCAAAGACCAUUCAGAAUCUAUACAUAAAAAGAUAACAGAUUUGCAGAACAUGAAAAUAACAGAAGAUGUUGGUUUUUUGGGUUGGAUGCGUUGUUUGGUUAAAAGGAAUAUCGAAAACAGGUCUGUUCUUGUUAAGUGUAAUUGAAUUGGCUGUAAUAUUCUUACCCUGUAUUUCACACAGUCUUCAAAGCACAAUACGGCUUGUUGUGAACAUUCUCUUAAAUGAAAGAGGGGGAGAUGCAGUGGCAGAGCCCCCCGGGGGGAUGGGGUCGUCGCCAGCCCGGCCAGGAGGUGAAGCCGGAGACCAAAGAGACAAAAGGAAUCCUGUAAGAGGGUACCAGCCAAUGAGCAAUCGCCGACACGCGCGUGCAGAGCGCGUGGACAGUGCGUGCAGCCAAUCACGGUACUGGAUAGCGCGUGCUGUAACCAAUCACGUUGUUGCACGGCGUGUGGACAGGGCAGCUUUUGGCCCAAAGCCAGCGUGGUGGGGCGGUCAAGGUGAACUCUGUGAACAUCACUUGGUGUGUCCGGUUCCGUCUCUCGCAUGGCAGCGACAUUGAACGGCCGCAGUUUCCUGUGUUUUGGUGACCCAAACUCUCCAGUGCACAGGACGGUGAUCCUCUGUGCAGCAACAAGGCCUGUUAGCACAGUGCAAGUUGGGCUACGUUAAAGCAGUAGAGCAGCACUGGAUAAUGGGGGGAGGAUCAAUAAGUGUGUUAAUGACCUGGAUCACGGGAGGAACGUGUAUUGCAGUCCAAGAGUACGUGGACUUCCUAUUUUCUUUCAUUCUUUGAUGCUGUGUUUUUAUAGAAGACCUACAUGCUUGUAAAUGGGAUUUGCUAGAUUAUAGUAGCACACUGCAGAAAUGAGUCAUCUCUCUGCAGAAUCUUUCUGGGGCUUCUGCCUGUGAUCCUCUGAGACAGGCAGUUCUUCCCAAAUUAUUUACUUCUCCAAAGUAUUUAAUUCGUAGCCUUAUGUUGCAGAACAGGGAAGCUCCAUCCGGUGUGUCUGACCUGUGAUGCACUGAGCAUGCAUCGUGCUUAAUGCACCAGAAGUUAUGUUCUGGAUUCAUUUUAAUGAGAGUAGAUGGUUGGAUGGGUUCUUAUCACACUAAACAAAUGCAUCUCACAACUUUGGAAACUCUCUCAUCUCUUUUGAUCAGCCAUCUCUAUUUGUUAAUGCUGAAACAACAGGAACUCUUGUUUAACCUGUUUUCCCACUCUCCAUUCUCUAAGCUGAGAGACUGCGCUGAGGCGCUGCUCACAGAGUUGUAUUGAAACAUCCAUAAACACCAGGGAGUUCAGAGCUUCUCAGCUGUGGAACACGGGUGAAUUGGGCUUCUACCGUUUGCUUCUUUGCAGAAGAACCCGCAGCACAAGCUGGAACACAAGCACAGUUCACUGCCAGAAAUCCGCAGGUAGUCAGUUGGAAUACUGGGAUAAUCAAGUCAAAUAAUCAAGAAAAAGCAGCAAAAAUUGCAAAGAAUCUCUCUGAAUUCUUGAAGAACAGACAAAAUCCCCCUCUGGUACAUCCGCCUCUCCUUUCAACAAGUCUAGUUACUGGAAUAUGAAAGAUACUGGAAUACAACCUCAGAAUCAGUUUUAAUUCUAUUCCCUCCAGCCCUCCAGAGAACACUCAUGCAGAAAUGUGUUCUCCCAGUAAGAAAAUCCAAAGAAAGAUCAAAAAAAUGAUGACAGGCAUGCACGCAAUGUUCCUUUUAGAGCAUCAUAGGGUCAUUUUGGUUGGAAGAGACCCUCGUAUCAUCAAGUCCAACCGUAAACCCAACACUGUCAUUACCCCGUGUCCUGAGAACCUCAUGUCCGUCUGUCCAGCCCUCCAGGGAUGGCGACUCCAGCACUGCCCUGGGCAGCCUGUUCCAAUGCCCCACAGCCCUUUGGGGAAGAAAUUGUUCCCAGAUCCAACCUCAACCUCCCCUGGGCAACCUGAGGCCGUUUCCUCUGCUCCUGGCGCUUGUUCCUGGGGAGCAGAGCCCGACCCCCCUGGCUCCAAGCUCCUUUCAGGCAGUUCAGAGAUCAGAAGGUCUCCCCUCAGCUCCUGUUCUCCAGCUGAACCCCCCAGGUCCCUCAGCCGCUCCAUCACCCUUGUGCUCCAGCCCCUCACCAGCUCCCUUCCCUUCUCUCCACUUGCUCCAGCACCUCAAGGGUUUUCUUGGCGUGAGGGGCCCAGAACUGCCCCCAGGAUUGGCGGUUUGGCCUCCCCAGGUCCCAGCACAGGGACGGUCGCUGCCCUGGGCCUGCUGGCCACACCAGUGCUGGUCCCAGCCAGGAUCCUGUGGCCUCUUGGCCACCUGGGCACACGCUGGCUCAUGUUCAGCCGCUGGCACCAACACCCCCGGCGCCUUUUCCAGCCGCUCCUCCCCAGCUGCAGCGUCCAUGGGGUUGUUGUGACCCACGUGCAGGACCCGGCACUUGCCCUUGGUGACCCUCAGACACCCAUCCAGGCCGUGAGCUGCAGCUUCUCCAGGAAAAUGCUGGGGAUACAGUGUCAAAGGCUUUGCUGAAGUCUAAGUGAUUCUUUAAUAAAGGUAGUCGAAAAAUCCCUUGGAAAGCAAAGUGCAGGAAAGAGGUAAAUCUUGAACCUGAACCUUUUCCUCUGUGAUUAAUGUGAUGUAAUUUAUUUUCCGAUAAAUUAAGACAUGUCAGUAAAACGGGAAAAGACAAAAGGUCUGUUUUGGGACGUCCUGUAGGAACUUUUUCUUCCCUUUGCCCAUGCUGAACUGCCCCAUCCCAGUUGAAGCACAACUUGCCAAUUUUUAACUUUAAUUUUCUUGUUAGGUAUUUUUGGAGGUAAAUUGAGUAAUGAAGUAUCAGAAAUACAGGCCACAAAGAUGAUUAAGGGCCUGGAACAUCUUUCCUAUGAAGAGAGGCUGAGGGAGCUGGGACUGUUCAGCCUUGAGAAGAGAAAGCUCAGGGGGAUCUUAUCAACGUGUGUCAAUAUCUGAUGUGCAGAAUGAACAGGAGGGAGCUGGACUCUUGGGGUGCCAUGAUAGGGCAAGAACCAAUGGGCAUAAACUUAAAAACAAUGCGAACGCAAGAAAAACACUUUUUAAAUCUAUUUUUUUUAAUUGUGUGGGGCUGCUCAAAACCGGAGCAAGUUGCCCAGAGAGGCUGUGGAAUCGCUGUCUGUGCAGAUGUUGAACCCUGACGCAGCCAGGACGGGCUCUCAGGACAGGACAGGCUCGGCCUGAGCCCGGGCUUGGACCAGCCGAGCUCAGGAGGGUCCCUUCCCGCCGAGCAAGCCUGUGAUCCGUGAAAUCCUGGAAACCGUUGUCCUUAUUUUCCAAACCUGACUUAUUUUAUGUUGGAAUCUUGUGUAAUGGAUAAAAAUUUCCACUUCAACACAUUUUGUGAAACUCAAAAAAACCCUCAGCAUUACUGGAUUUAAAGAAAUUGCAAACUAGACGAGAGCAGCCAUGUGACCCCUGUUAUUUUAACAGCCUCGAGAUACUCCAGCUGGGCACCGAGCGCCUCCGUUCUCUCAGUGUAGCAGCCGUAUCCACAGCAUCAGUACCCACAGCAUCAG